rnacentral:rRNA from 1 species
AGUGGAUGGGGAGCAACCUAGUUGUGCGUGUGUAAAGGUAGUGCCAAGAAAAGCGAUGAUCAUGUUGAAAAUCAAUUCCCGGUACCCGAAACCGACACAGGUGGGCAAGUAGAGAAUACUAAGGGGCGCGAGGUAACUCUCUCCAAGGAACUCGGCAAAAUGACCCCGUAACUUAGGGAGAAGGGGUGCCACCGAGAGGUGGUCGCAGUGAAGAGGCCCAGGCGACUGUUUAGCAAAAACAUAGGUCUCUGCAAACUCGAAAGAGGAGGUAUAGGGGCUGACGCCUGCCCAGUGCCGGAAGGUUAAAGAAGUUGGUCAGUUUUAGGAUGAAGCUAGCGACUGAAGCCCCGGUGAACGGCGGCCGUAACUAUAACGGUCCUAAGGUAGCGAAAUUCCUUGUCGGGUAAGUUCCGACCCGCACGAAAGGCGUAACGAUCUGGGCGCUGUCUCGGAGAGAGGCUCGGCGAAAUAGGAUUGUCUGUGAAAAUACGGACUACCUGCAUUUGGACAGAAAGACCCUAUGAAGCUUUACUAUAGCUUGGAAUUGUGUUCGGGCUUCCUGUGCGCAGGAUAGGUGGGAGGCGUAGAAGGUAUUCUUGUGGGGAUACUGGAGCCAACGGUGAGAUACCACUCUCAGGAGGCUAGAAUUCUAACUUAAUUAAGGACAGUUUCGGGUGGGUAGUUUGACUGGGGCGGUCGCCUCCAAAAAGGUAACGGAGGCGUACAAAGGUUCCCUCAGACUGGUUGGAAAUCAGUCGAAGAAUGCAAAGGCAGAAGGGAGCUUGACUGCGAGAAGUACAGUUCGAGCAGGGUGGAAACACGGUCUUAGUGAUCCGACGGUGCUGUGUGGAAGGGCCGUCGUUCAACGGAUAAAAGUUACUCUAGGAUAACAGGCUGAUCUCCCCCAAGAGUUCACAUCGACGGGGAGGUUUGGCACCUCGAUGUCGGCUCAUCGCAACCUGGGGCGGGAGUACGUCCCAAGGGUUGGGCUGUUCGCCCAUUAAAGCGGUACGUGAGCUGGGUUCAGAACGUCGUGAGACAGUUCGGUCCAUAUCCGAUGUAGGCGUGAGAAUAUUGAGAGGAGCCUUCCUUAGUACGAGAGGACCGGGAAGGACGCACCGCUGGUGUACCUGUUAUGAUGCCAAUUGUAAACGCAGGGUAGCCAAGUGCGGAGAGGAUAACCGCUGAAAGCAUCUAAGUGGGAAGCCCACCUCAAGAUGAGUAUUCUGGUGUAAGGUCACGGGAAGACGACCCGUAAAUAGGCACGAGGUGGAAGUGCAGAGAUGUAUGAAGCCGAAGUGUACUAAUAGACCGUCGGCUUGAC